rnacentral:rRNA from 1 species
GAUGAACGCUGGCGGCGUGCCUAAUACAUGCAAGUCGAGCGAACAGACGAGGAUCUUGCUCCUCUGUCGUUUGCGGCGCGCGGGUGUGAAACACGUGUAUAACCCCCCUAUAUGACUGGGAUAACUACGGGAAACCGGCGCUAAUACCGGAGAAUAUCUUGAACCGCGGGGGUGGAUAGAGAAAUACGGUGUUGCGGUAUCGUAUAGAUGGUUACGCGCCGCAUUGGCUAGUUGUUGGGGUCAAAGCUUACCAAGGCAACGAGGAGUAGCCGACGUGAGAGGGUGAUCGGCCACACUGGAACGGAGACACGGUCCAGACGCCUACGGGAGGCAGCAGUAGGGAAUCUGCCGCAAUGGGCGAAAGCCUGACGGAGCAACGCCGCGUGAGUGAUGAAGGUCUUCGGAUCGUAAAACUCUGUUAUUAGGGAAGAACAAAUGUGUAAGUAACUAAACACGUCUUGACGGUACCUAAUCAGAAAGCCACGGCUAACUACGUG